UACGUAGGGGGCAAGCGUUGUCCGGAAUUAUUGGGCGUAAAGCGCGCGCAGGCGGUUGAUUAAGUUCGGUGUUUAAGGCUGUGGCUCAACCACAGUUCGCACUGGAAACUGGUUAACUUGAGUACAGAAGAGGAAAGUGGAAUUCCACGUGUAGCGGUGAAAUGCGUAGAGAUGUGGAGGAACACCAGUGGCGAAGGCGGGUUGCUGGGCUGACACUGACGCUGAUGCGCGAAAGCCAGGGGAGCGAACGGG
rnacentral:rRNA from 1 species